UUGUCACAGCUUAAGUCGCAACCACCAGUUGAUGUCCUUCUGUCAUUCCCCAGCAACAGGGGACCAUGGCACCACCUACAAGGAGGAGUAUGACCCAGCAGCCGACACCUCCAAUCCCGGGGCUUCCACUGG